rnacentral:lncRNA from 1 species
GUGAUUUGAUUCUGAAUAUUAUAUUUUUAUUUCAUUUACAGUCGAGCCCCGAUUUAACGAAUCCGGAAUUAAUGAAUUUCGCGAUUCAACGAAUUGUUUUCAUGGUCCCGACACGAAUUGAUUAAAAUUCCCGGAUUUAACGAACGCUCAAUGGAAUGUUUUUUAGAAAAAGAAUCGCAUAUUGGAGAAAAAUGUGCAAAAUCACUUCCAAGAAAACUAUUAUACGUAUUCAUUUAGACAUGAAUCAGUAUAAGUUUAAAACCUGGGGCUGUAUUCUGAUCACUGUAUCUCUCAGAGACAAAAGACGUGUCUACGUCAGUACAUACGUACUGUACUGUACACUGUAUUGUAACUGUAUGUUCUUAAAAUUUUAAUUUA